rfam:Cucumis melo, WGS project CAJI01000000 data, contig: 26669
CCGACCUUAGCUCAGUUGGUAGAGCGGAGGACUGUAGUUUGUUCAGUGAUCCUUAGGUCGCUGGUUCGAAUCCGGCAGGUCGGA